rnacentral:lncRNA from 1 species
AGGAAAACCCAGGGAGGAAGCUGAGGCAGAAUCACCUAAACAGUUUGUACAGACUGCAAGAUCUCUCCUCUCUUCACCCCGCUGCCGUUGCCCAAGCGACGCUGGUGCCAACAGACAGCAGCACUGCCAGCCGCAGGAGCCAAGGCAGCGAUGGGCUUACAGCAGAGCUCAGGGGGGCACAGAUGUCUGAGAGCACCACUUCGUGCCCCACCCACCCUCCCAGAGUGUGCCCCGUCAGACAGAGAUAACUCCAGGGUUCGAGGGAGAGCAUCACAAAAAGGGGAGGCAACAAAAGAGGCUAUUGGAUUGUUGUGGCUGAUUAAGACGUCGCUAAGAACACUGCCUUAUUAUCUGGAGCAACAGCCCAUUCCAGCACUUGCAGAGGGACUGGCAUAGCCAGAAUCGCUGAUCCUGGCACUCGCCACAGAAACCAGAUGCCUGGAAUUCUCUGCCUCCUACUGUGCCGUUGGGCUGUGGCCAGGCGCGGCAUGAGUGACAUCAUCGAUAACAAGGGUGCAGAACAUCCACAUAGCACUCACCAUUGCUGGCCGCGGACCGGGGGUUUAAUGAGUACAGUGGGAGAGUGAUAGAUUAUGCACAAGGGAUAAAGCACAGCAGAGAAAAGAUCUCACAAAAUAUAGAAAUGAAAUAAAUAUCAUGAUGUACAUAAAUAUCCUGCUUUU